AUUAUUAUUAUUUUGAGACAGGAUGUUGCUCUGUCACCCAGCUGGAGUGCAGUGGUGGUGUCAUCUCAGCUCACUGCAACCUACACCUCCCAGAUUCAAGCCAUUCUCCUGCUUCAGCCUUCUGAGUAGCUAGGAUUACAGAAGAAUUUAUUUGAAUCUCUCUUUUCCUUGGCUAAGACGAAUGAAGAAGCAGGAGACUUGGGGGAUCCCCUUAACUGGAGAUAAUUACUGGGACAAAUCAGCCAGCACAAAGAGGAGACAAGUGUGGCUAUGACUGCUGCUGGGACCACGAUACUGUGAGAGACUUCGCAUAUUUAAAAGGAUGCUGAGAGAGGAGGAGGAAUGAUAAAUGAGCUCGGGAAGAUGUGAUGUCUUCUGUGAUGACACUAAUAGAUGGAAUACAGAAUUCAGCUCCAAUACUUACGGUUGGAAACUAAACAUAAACAAGCAGGCAAGGAAAAUGAAAAGGGAAUGUGUGUGUGUGUGUGUGUGUGUGUGUGUGUGUGUGUGUGUGUGUGUGGAGGUGUGGUAAGAGUAUAUAAAAUACAUUAAAAGAUAAAAAUCCAGAUGCUGCUAAAGGGACAAACAUAUAGGAAUUUUACAUUAGGGUUGUUCUGGUUUUCUUUUUCUUGCCUUAUUAAAAUUUAAUGAGAAACAAGUCUCCAGAUAUUUAUAUAGUCUGGGAGACCACUGGCAAGACAACAAGCUUAGCAUUAUAGGUGGUCCCCCAGCAGGAUCUAAAUCAGAGCCUUUCUAGUGGGCUGUUGGGCCAGGUGCAGCUGUAGACAAUGCAUCUUCCAGAGUAGGGUGAAACAACUCAAUGGACUGGUAAUGCAACAGGAGAUAGAAGGAAACCAUGCUCUCAGUAAAGCAUGGUGGGUCUUUUAAAAACAUUUAAAAAACAUUUUUAGGUCAGGCACAGAGGCUCACACCUGUAAUCCCAGAGCUUUGGGUGGCUAAAGCCUUCCAAAAGCAGGAUCCCUUGAGGCCAGAACUUCUAGACCAGCCUGGCCUAACAUAGCGAGACCCUAUCUCUACACAAAAUAAAAAUUAAUUAGCCAGACAGGUGGCAAGCACCUGUAGUCCCAACUACUCAAGAGGCUAAGGCAGGAGGAUCACUCGAAUCCAAGAAUUUGAGGUUGCAGUAAGCUAUGAUCAUGCCAUUGCACUCCAGCCUGGGUGACAGAGUGAGACUUCAGUUCUUAAAAAAAAAAAAAAUUGUGUUAUGCUUUUCAUUGCUGGGUUUUUAGAAGGAGGUUCUCAAGGUGUCAAUCCAGAGACGUUCUGUUCUAUUUGUCAGAAAUGCAAAAGAAUGGAGCAAAAUUCCAAAGAUAAAGGGAAAAAUAUGGCAAUCAGGAUAGCAAGAGCUGAGCAAAUGAUGUGAGUUUGAGGUGUUUUCUACUAAUUUGUUUUAACAUUGAGCUUUAAAAAAAAGUUCAGAUAGGAAAGCAUGGGGUGAAAUAUUGCCUGGUCUCCAAUUGAAACACAUGGGCAUGAGAUGUGGUGAAGUAUUGCUAAUGGGAUGGAAAACUGGGGUCGACCUGGUGUGUAGGAGCACAGCAUCCUGAGUCUCAUAAGUGAUCCAGGUUAAAGGGUCUCUAGCGUGACACUCUGAGUGCCUUAGAAGAGCUACCUGGCUUGAGUGCCACUCACAGGUACUUUUCUAUCCCCAGGUUGUCAGCUCUUCAGCUCUUUAGUCAUUCAACAGAUAUUUAUUGAUGGCCUACUAAAUGACAAGCCCUGGGUGAAGAGCUGUGAAAAAACCAGACAAAUGUCUCUGCCCUCAUGGGAUUCAUAAAAUAAAGGGUUAAGAAUAUAAGAGUAUUUUAUAAGAAUAGUCCAUGGUGGAAAACUGAAGCACAAGAAUUUUCUUCAUUGGUCUAUUGACCUAUGUAGUGACCCAUGUAGUGACUCCAGAUCAAAACCCAGAUCAUCCCAUUUACCUGCUUCCUGUUAUUGUAAAGCCUCUGCCAUCUGUUAUUACUUCUUACCAUCUCUCCUCUGAGACCUAUGAUCCAAGCCACAUAGCCUCUUUUAAAAAGUUGUAUUGAAGUACAAUUUUCAUACCAAAAAGUUCACCAAUUGUGAGUGUAUAAUUCAAUGAUUUUUAAUAAAUGUAUAGAGUUGUAUGGUCUCAUCAUCACAAUCCAGUUUUAGAACAUUUCUGCCAGCCUAAAAUGCUUCUUUGUGCCCAUUUGCAAUCAAUUCUGCUUCAACUUUCAACCCCAGGAAACCACUGAUCUGUUUUCCAUAUCUAUCGUUUUGCCUUUUCUGGACAUUUUAUAUCAAUGGAACCAAACAAUAUAGGUUGCUCAUUCCUUAUCCCAACAUCCAAAAUAGUCAAAAUGUGAAAUGUUUUGAGCAUGACAUGACACCAUAAAUAAGAACAAAAAAGAUGCCUGAUUUCAUUACACAUGCACACCACAAGUGGAAAAUUUCACACAUGACCUCAUUCACAUGAUGAGUUUCAGUCAGUCAAAAUGCAGGCAUGUCACAUACAGCUUAUUUAGCCUCCCCAAGAGAAAAUAGAGCCACCCAGCCCCCAUCAGCUGCAAUAUGUCUUUUCUACCCAAUGCCCAGAUUCCCACAUACAGGCACACUCACGAAGGGUGAUAAAUUGACAGGUGCAGGCCGAAUGUUCCAAUAGCAAGUUCCCCAUCAUGCCCCAGAGGAAGCCAAGAUGACAUGCAUAACUCACUGUGUUUUUUCGCUUAUUCUAUGCUCUGCAGUAUAAAGAUAUUGUUGAAAAUUUCAAAAGGUCUGCAUGUGGGUAAUAGUAAUAAGAAAAAAAGAACACAUUCAUGUUUGUCUGUAGAACAGACACUGAACAGCAGUGUAAGUGUGAAAUGUCUUACUGAAGGGUAUGGUGUUGGAAUGAUCACCAUGUAUGAAAACAAGGAUAAACUGUGGAAUUUUCAUGCUCAAAGUGAUGAGCAGAAUUUGUUAAAAAUAGGAAAACCCUGUAUACGGUUUAAAAUGAAGAUCUCGAUCGUGUAUUGAAAGAGUGGAUCCAUCAGCGUUGCAGUGAUCACAUGCCACUUAACUGUGCUGACGGUGAAGCAAGCAAAGCUCUAUCAGGGUACUGAAAAUGGAAUGGAAUUGUGAAUAUUCGACAAGCUGGCUGCAGAAAUUUAAGAAACGACGUGGCAUUGUAUUUUUAAAGAUUUGUAGUGAUAAAGCAUCUGCUGAUCAUGAAGCAGUGGAAAAAUUUAUUGACAAGUUUGCCAAUGUCAUCACUGAUUAAAAUCUGACACCAGAACAAGCUGAUAAUACUGAUGAAACACCACUCUUUUGGUGUUAUUUCCCCAGAAAGACAUUGCCUAUGACUGAUGAGACACCCCUAUAAGAAUUAAGGAAGCCAAGAACAGAAUAACUCUACUGGGAUGUGCUAAUGAAGCAGGCACAUGUUGGUAUAAACUUGCUGUGAUAGUCAAAAGCUUGCAUCCUCGACGUUUUCAAGAAGUGAAUUUCUUACCUGUCCAUUAUUAUGCUAACAAAGAGGCUUGUAUCGCAAGGAACAUCUUUUCUGAUUGGUUUCAAAAUGUUUUGUCCCAGUAGCUUGUGCUCACUGUAGGGAAGCUGGACUAGAUGAUAACUGGAAGCGUCUGUUAUUCCUUGACAACUGUUCUGCUCAUCCUCCAGCUGAAACUCUCAUCAAAAUAGUGUUUAUGCCAUGGACUUUCCCCCAGAUGUGACACAAUUAGUUGACCAUGUAUCCUUAGAUCAAUGAAAAGGAAACAUAUAAACUUUUUUUUAACAGCAUGCUAGCAGCAGUGAACAGAGGUGUCGGCGUGGAAGCUUUCCAGAAGAAGUUCACCAUGAUGGAUGCUGUGUGUGCUGUUGCCAAUGCUUGGAACGCAGUGAUUAAAGACACAGUUAUACGUUUCUGGCACAACCUCUGGCCUGCAAUGACGUUCAGUAAUGAUGAUGAACAAGGUGGGUGACUUUGAAGGAUUCCCUAUUUCAAGUGAGAAAAAAAUGAUAUCUAACCUCCUUACAUAUGCAAAAAAUAUAUCUUCAGAUGUAAGUUGGAAGAAGUAGAUAUUUCAGAUGUUUUGACAUUCAUAAUAAGCCUCUAGUUGUUCAUUCACUGAUUGAUGGUGAAAUAGCGGAAAUGGUUCCGAAUUGAGGUGAUGGCAACAAUAAUAACAACGAAGAUGACAUUACUAACACUGCACUGCACUGUCUAAGAGAACAUAGUGAAAACAUGCAACGGGCUUACUGAAGGACUAGAGCAGGGUGCAUUCACAAAAGAACAAUAAAUCAUGUCAGUUUAUAAAAUGAGAGAUUUUUAUGACAAAAAACACUGUUAGUGAGGCCGAUGACUUAAGGAAACAUUUUAAAAAUCUAUCCAGAAGAACGCCUCCUCAUUGCUAGGGCAUGCAUUUCCUGGUCCUUCAACUGCUUCUGAUGUUUCUUUUUUUUUACAAAAAAAAAAAAAAAAAAAAAAAACAAAAACAGAGUACAGUAACCUUUUAAUCAGAACACAGUACUGCAGGCGGAGACUCAAAGCCUGUUGUUUGUUGCUGCUGUUGUCUGACAGCUGCUACAGGGAUUCUGGUGAUGCUACUAUGCUUAGUUACCCUGAACACAUUUUUCAUGGUAUUAAAGAUAAAUCAUAUUUUUUUGCUGUUAAGUACUUAUGUGUGAAUAAGUAAAAGGACGUGAUUGCUUGUUGGUAGCAUUUACAUUUAGACUCAGGAAACGCAGUGAUGCCAAACAACCACAGAUUGUCCACAUGGAUGGCUGAGAUAGUGACACCUGUGCUUUCUGAUGAUUCAGUGUACCUUUAAGCUAUGUGUAUACGGUAUAUAUGAAACAUAAAUGAAUUUCGUGUUUAAACUUGGGUCCCAUCUCCAAGAUAUCUCAUUUUGUAUAUGCAUAUGUUCCAAAAUCUGAAAAAAAAAAUAUGAAAUGUGAAACACUUCUGGUUGCAAGAAUUUUGGUUAAGGAUGCUCAAUCUGCAUGUAUGUUUUGUAUGUGGCUUCUUUAACCUAGAAUAAUGUUUUUAAGGUUUAUCUAUGUUGCAGCAUAUAUCAAUAGUCUGCUACUUUUCAUUCUUUGAAUAGUAUUCCAUUGCAUGGACAUAGUAUAUUUUAUUUAUUCUUUCAUCAGUUGAUGAACACUUGGAUUAUUUUCAGUUUCGGGAUACUAAGACCAUGAAUACAUAAGCCUUUGCAUGGAAAUGUGUUUGCAUUUCUCUUGUGUAGAUAUCUAAUGUGGAAUUGCUAGGUUGUAUGGUAAAUAUGUGUUUAACUUUAUGAGAAGCUGCCAUGCUAUUUUCUAAAGUGGCUCCACCGUUUUCCAUUCCCAUACGUAUGAGAGUUCUAUUUCUCCACAUUCUCAUCAAUACUGAUUGUCGUCUGUCUUUUAAUUAUUGCUAUUCUAGUAAGAGUGUAAUUGUAUCUUAAUUUGGUUUUGGAUUUUAUCUCCAUAAUGACUAAUGAUUAGAGCAUUUUUUCCCAUGUGUUUAUUAGUUAUUCCUGUAUUUUAUUUGGAGAAAUGUCUAUUUAACUUUUUUGGUCAUUUUUUUUCUUUUUUCUCUUGUUUUCAGUUUUUGUUUUUUUUGGUUUAUUUUUCAGAGACAGGGUCUCACUCUGUUGCCCAGGCUGGAGUGCAGUGGCAUGAUCAUAGCUAACUGAAACCUUGAACUCCUGGGCUCAAACAGUCUCUCACCUCAAACUCCAAGUAGCUAGGACUACAGGUCCCUGCCACCAUACCCAGCUAAUUAAAAAAUUUUUUUGAGAUAGGGUCUUGUUAUGUAGUCUAGGCUGGUCUCAAACUUCAGGCCUCAAGUGAUCCUCCCACCUUGGCCUCCGAAAGCACAGGCAUUACAGGUGUGAGCCACCAUGAGCGUGAGCCACCAACCUUUUGGCCAUUUUUUAAUUAGGCUGCUUGUCUUCUUGUUAUUGAGUUUUAUUAGUUAUUUGUGUAUUCUGGAUACAAUUUCCUUCAUCAGAUGCAUGAUUCACAAACUUUUCUCCAGUUUUUGCCUUCCCCUUUCAUUGUCUAAUGUUACAUUUUAGAAGAGCAAAAACUUUAAUUUUGUUUAAGCUUUGUCUUUUCUGGAUUAUGCUUUUGUUUUCUUAUCUAAGAAGUAUUUGCCUAAUCAAUGCCACUGUUUUUUCCCUGUUUACUUCUAAAAGUUUUACGAUUUUACUUAGACAUUAAGUUUUGAAUUAAUUUUUGUGUAUAUUAUGAGGUGUCUAUAUUCUUUUUUCUUUAUGUUUUGCAUAUGAAUAUCUAACUGUCUCAGAACCAUUAGUUGAAAGACUGUUCUUGCCUGAAUUGAAUUGCCCUAACAAUUGCCAAAAAUCAAUUUACCGUAAAUAAAAGAAUUUAUUUCUGGACUCUCAAUUCUAUUCUAUUGAUCUGUGUACCUAUCCUAUGCCAAUACCAUAUUGUCUUGAUUAUUGUAGCUUUAUCUUAACUUUGAAAUUGGUGAGCAUAACUUCUCCAACUUUGUUAUUUCUCAAGAUUAUUACAGCUAUUCUAGGUUCUUGGCAUUUUCAUAUGCAUUUUAGAAUGAGCUUAUCAAUGUCUACCAAAGAAAUUGCUCUGCUAGAAAUUUUAUAGAGAUCAUGUUGAAUCUAUACAUCAUUCUAGGGAGAAUUACUAUCUCAAAAAAGAUUGAAUCUCCAAUUUAUUAACAUGAAACAUAACUCCAUGUAUUUAGCGAUGUUUCCUAGUUUUCACUGUACAAAUCCUGUCCUUGUAUUUAUUUUGUUAAAUUUAUUUCUAAGUAUUUUAUUCAUUUUGAUGCUAUUGUUAAUGAAAUUUUCUUAAUUUCAUUUUUGGGUUUUUCUCUGCUAAAACGAUUGACCCUUGAACAACACAAGGGAUUAGGGGCACCAACCCCUGCACAUUCAAAAAUUGGCAUAUAGCUCACUGUUGACCAAAGCCUUACUGACAUAAACAGUCAUUAAUACAUAUUUUAUAUGUAUUAGAUACUGUAUUCUUACAAGAAAGUAAGCUAGAAAAAAGAAAAUAUUACUAGGAAAACAAAAAAGAAGAGAAAAUUAUCUUUAUUCUUCAUUAAGUGAAUCAUCAUCAUAAAAGUCUUUAUCCUUGUCAUUUUCAUGAGUAGGCUGAGGAGGAAUAGGAAGAGGAGGAGUUAAUCUCACAGUCUCAGGGGUGGCAGAGACAGAAGAAAGGCUGUGUAUUAAGUAAUAGAAAUCUGUGUUGUUCAAGGAUCAACUGUAUAUGAAAUACAACUGAUAUUUGUAGAUUGGUCCUGUAUCCUGCAGCCUUGCUAAAUUUAUUAGUACUAAUAGAUUUUUUUUAAUGUGUGGAUUUAUUGGGAUUUCUUUUUUGCAUACAAGAUUACGU